AUUUAGCCACCCCCCUCCUCCCAUCCUUUUAAAAGCCUGCUCAAAUCCCAGCUUGCCAAAGCCUUCACGUGUCGGGUGCCACGGCCCCUUCAUCACCCAAGGCAGUGCAGACUCAUGAGAGAGUUUGAGCUUUGGAGAAUCAUGCCUGGGUUUGAGUUCUGACCAGCUGUGAGUCUUGGUUCUCUUGCCUGUUAAAAGGGGGAAAGAUGGUAUUGAUAAUACCCGCCUUAUUGGGCUAUCAGGAGGAGUAAAUAAGAGAAGGCAUAUAAAAUGCCUGGUGCCAUUGUUGCUACAGUUAGGGUUCAGACUGCUCUGAGCUCCUGCCACGUAUACAGAGCACAGCACCAUUAGUCCUUCCGGUGGGCUUGUCUCCCCAAGAAAAGCCGUGGCCUUGGCGUGGGAGACGUGGCUGUUAAGUCUGACUCUGCCGCCCACUCCUCGUGUGACCUUGAGCAAGCCCGUCCUCUGGGCCUCGUACGACCGACCGGCUGAGCCGUCGUCAGUCCCUGGAGGAUGGAACCCGGGCUGCUCUCCCUGCUAUAGUCCAGUGUUGACCUCGGGGCCAGGCACAGAAACAAGCACGACCCGCACAAGGAAGCAGCUGGUUUCCCACCAGCGUGUUGCUGAGGACGUCACUCCCGACGAUGCACCGAUGAGAUUUUCUGGGAGAAACUGAUCUGCUUUUGGUGUCAGGUUUCCCUGAACACCCCGGCUGCCUGGAGGCUUCGAGCCACAGCGGGGUGCCUAACCUCAAUGUCCAGUGGGGGGGGGGGGGGAUCACUGAAAUCCACUACGACCCAGCGAUACAGCGUGUGGAGGACAAUGCGUGAAGGAGUCCCACCAAAGAGUUAGAAGCGUGACCCCAGCGACCAGACCAGGAGGACACAUGCUUCAGAUUCUGUUUACUUCCCUGGUGCUUGCAAUUCUUUCAAACAAUCUCGUAUCACAAUAAAAAAAUGGAAAUGAUACGAUCGGCUACAGUAGAGAAACGCUUAAUAACACGUAAAAAUGUGGACAACUUGUUACGGUUAAGAAGAGAUUUGAGAAACAGAAUGCCAGUGUUUUCUCAUUUCUACAAAAACAACUUUACACGUCCGACAGAAGGGCAAAGUCCUGAAACGUGAACUGUGGUUUUCCCGAGUGGUGGGACACAUUUUCAUUUUCUCAUUUGUCUGUAUGUUUUCAAUUUUCCACAAUUGACAUCUAUAACUUUAGUGAUUUAAAAAAAAAAAAAAAAAGGGUACUUUCUUAAAAGGAAAGAUUUGGCCCAAGAUUUGGCCCGAAUUUGUAGCCUUUGUCUUGCCUCCACUUUCUCCCCUCCCCCACAGGCCUGUUUUCUCACCUGAUUUUAAUUGGCGCCAUCGUGCUGUCCUUUCCGUGUCCCUGAAAAAGGCCCGAAAUCCUUGUGGGAGCAAGGCGAGGCAGAAGCCAGGGCCCAGGUCCAGCCCGCUGCUCCCCAUCAGUGGUCCCCCGGCACCCCACGCCGCCUCCUCGAGUACUGUUCUAAUUAGCGGGGACGCUAAGCAGACCCAAAGGCGGAACUAUAAACACCAGAGGCAAAGACCCAUAAACAGCUGGGUAACUGACUCCAGCUUGUGCAGAUGGGCCUGGCCCUCCUUCACACUAAUGGCUGGGUGGGGGCUGGGCUAGCCAUUGAGGACGUGCCUCCGCCUCCCCUCCUUAGACCACAAGCUGCUAUGAGCCAGGCAGUUAGAAUAUUGGUGCGUUAGUCUUAGGUGAGCUUAUAUCCACAUGGGCAGGGGGUUUGAGGACCAAGGAUCUUCAAGGUCCCCUGAGCCCCAUUACCUGCCCCGGGGCCUCAACUUACCUAUCUGUAAAAUGGGGAAGAGAGGAACUAAGAGACUAAAUGGGCCUUCUUAGCUCUACCACAUCAUGCCUAAAUGUAUAUACUGGAACUAAAUGCCUAUGAUAUACCUAACUAAUAUAAUAAAAAUAUAUACCAUGUGAUAAUAUAAACAUAUGCUACAAUAAAAUUAUCUGCACUGUAACCUAAA